rnacentral:rRNA from 1 species
UCAAUUAUGGUUCCUUGGACCGUAUUUUAUUACUUGGAUAACUUUGGCAAUUUAGAUUUAAUACAUGCAGCAGAGCUCCCACCUCUGGAACCGAACACUUUUAUUAGACCCAAACCAGUCAAACCUUGUGGCCCUAUUAUAUAAUGACUCUGUAUAACUUCGGGCUGAUCGCAUUGGCUUGUUCCGACGACGUAUCUUUCAUGUAUCUGC